CCAGGUUUUUGUGGUCGGUUAUGAUCAACAGGGGGUCCUUGGAACCCUCCAAAAGAUGUCGCCAUUCCUUGAGGGCAAGAAUAAUGGCCAACAGUUCUCUAUUGCCAAUAUCGUAGUUGCGCUCAGCAGGAGACAGCUUUCUGGAGAAGUAGCCACAAGGAUGCAAUGGUGUUCCCUGGCUUUCUCUCUGAGAGAGAACAGCUCCUACCCCUGUCUCGGAUGCAUCAACCUCCAAUAUAAAAGGUUUACUGGUGUCGGGAUGUUUUAGUAUGUCCGCAGAGGCAAAUCUUUGUUUAAGAGUCUCAAAAGCAUUCACAGCCUCUUUGGACCAUACCGUGCUACUAACCCCUUUGCGAGUCAUAUUAGUGAUGGGGGCUAUUACAGAAGAAAAUCCCUUGAUGAAUCUUCUGUAAUAGUUGGCAAAACCAAUAAACCUUUGAAUUGCUUUUAAACCAGAGGGUAAUGGCCAGUGUAGUACAGCCUCUAGUUUUUU